rnacentral:rRNA from 1 species
UACAGAGGUCUCAAGCGUUGUUCGGAUUCAUUGGGCGUAAAGGGUGCGUAGGCGGCGCGGUAAGUCGGGUGUGAAAUUUCGAGGCUUAACUUCGAAACUGCAUUCGAUACUGCCGUGCUAGAGGACUGGAGAGGAGACUGGAAUUUACGGUGUAGCGGUGAAAUGCGUAGAUAUCAUGAGGAAGACCAGUGGCGAAGGCGGGUCUCUGGACAGUUCCUGACACUGAGGCACGAAGGCCAGGGGAGCAAACGGG